CAAUCCCCGACGGCUGCCGAAGGAAACAGCCAAUAGAAUGGAGCCGCGGGGAGCAACCAAUCACACAAAUUGAGGGCGGGGUUUAAGACAUAGGCCUCAUCCAAUAGAAUGGAACGGAGGGGAGCGGCCAAGCACAAACUGGGGACAGAUAACGAGACAAAACAAAACCAAGACGAACCUUGAACUUCCAAUUUUGAUGACCCGGAUGGAGCUGACAGUCCUCCAAUUGAACUUUAAUUCCCACAAUUCGUGGCUGUUGGCCCUGCUGCCUGGGGCUCCUGGGAGUUGAAGUCCAAAACGGAAUCCCUCCUCACCUCUGAUGCAGAGGAAACCCCUGGACAGAGUGGAUCCUAGCUGGCUUGGUUCUCAGGGGGAAGUACGGGAAGUCUGAAGAGCUGCCAAAAUGUAUAAAAUGACAUGUGUUUCUCUGUAAAGGUAUGCUGGUACAUUUUUGAGCUGUGAAACACUACUUGUAUCCCUAUUGACUAAACUGUAAUAAACCUUUGUAGUUUGCCUUCCAA